rfam:Perkinsus marinus ATCC 50983 gcontig_1104296241512, whole genome shotgun sequence.
GGGCGUGUGGUGUAGUGGUAUCACGUCUGCUUUGCAUGCAGAAGGCCCCGGGUUCAAACCCCGGCACGUCCA